AGUUGCUGUGCCUCUAGCUGAAUACUACAGACUGCAGCGACAAGAGCUUGAUCUAGAGUUGAUCGAUGAGCAUUUCUCCUCUCCUGAAAUAACCAGUGGAUUUUCAGGAAGCGAUUGUCCAUUUCCAGAAGGGAGGAGCUCCUUGCCUUUUCACCUUUACUCCAAAGCUGUUCGUGGGCGUUACUACAAUAUUUGCUACGUUUGGUGAUUUGGGCAGAUAUCAACUAAGAAAAGUGGAGGAUGAUUACCUGUGUUUAAUUCCAGCCUCAGGGGAAGCAGGUUUCGUAACCAUCAGCCUUCAAAUUCAAGAUGAUGUCUUGUUGGGACAGAAUGAGAUUUAC
rnacentral:lncRNA from 1 species